rfam:Streptomyces sp. Tu6071 chromosome, whole genome shotgun sequence.
GGACCCGUACCCCAGCUGGCUAGAGGGACUGGGUUUAGGUCCCAGGUGUCAUGGGUUCGAAUCCCAUCGGGUUCA